GAUGAACGCUGGCGGCGUGCCUAAUACAUGCAAGUCGAGCGAACAGACGAGAAGCUUGCUCCUCUGACGUUAGCGGCGGACGGGUGAGUAACACGUGGAUAACCUACCUAUAAGACUGGGAUAACUUCGGGAAACCGGAGCUAAUACCGGAUAAUAUAUUGAACCGCAUGGUUCAAUAGUGAAAGACGGUCUUGCUGUCACUUAUAGAUGGAUCCGCGCCGCAUUAGCUAGUUGGUAAGGUAACGGCUUACCAAGGCAACGAUGCGUAGCCGACCUGAGAGGGUGAUCGGCCACACUGGAACUGAGACACGGUCCAGACUCCUACGGGAGGCAGCAGUAGGGAAUCUUCCGCAAUGGGCGAAAGCCUGACGGAGCAACGCCGCGUGAGUGAUGAAGGUCUUCGGAUCGUAAAACUCUGUUAUUAGGGAAGAACAAAUGUGUAAGUAACUAUGCACGUCUUGACGGUACCUAAUCAGAAAGCCACGGCUAACUACGUG
rnacentral:rRNA from 1 species